UAAGGGAUCAGCCUAUGUCCUAUCAGGUAGUUGGUGAGGUAACGGCUCACCAAGCCAAUGACGGGUAUCUGGUUUGAGAGGAUGAUCAGACACACUGGAACUGAGACACGGUCCAGACUCCUACGGGAGGCAGCAGUGAGGAAUAUUGCACAAUGGAGGAAACUCUGAUGCAGCAACGCCGCGUGGAGGAUGACGCAUUUCGGUGUGUAAACUCCUUUUAAGAGGGAAGAUUAUGACGGUACCUCUUGAAUAAGCACCGGCUAACUCCGUGCCAGCAGCCGCGGUAAUACGGAGGGUGCAAGCGUUACUCGGAAUCACUGGGCGUAAAGGGUGCGUAGGCUGACUUUUAAGUCAGGCGUGAAAUCCAAUGGCUUAACCAUUGAACUGCGCUUGAAACUGGGAGUCUAGAGUUCAGAAGGGGCAGAUGGAAUUAGUGGUGUAGGGGUAAAAUCCGUAGAUAUCACUAGGAAUAUCAAAAGCGAAGGCGAUCUGCUGGGAUGAUACUGACGCUGAGGCACGAAAGCGUGGGGAGCAAACAGGAUUAGAUACCCUGGUAGUCCACGCCCUAAACGAUGAAUGCUAGUCGUCGGGGAGCUCGUCUCUUCGGUGAUGCACUUAACAGAUUAAGCAUUCCGCCUGGGGAGUACGGUCGCAAGAUUAAAACUCAAAGGAAUAGACGGGGACCCGCACAAGUGGUGGAGCAUGUGGUUUAAUUCGAAGAUACACGAAGAACCUUACCUGGCCUUGACAUGGUAGGAACCCUGUAGAGAUACGGGGGUGCUGGCUUGCUAGAGCCUACACACAGGUGCUGCACGGCUGUCGUCAGCUCGUGUCGUGAGAUGUUGGGUUAAGUCCCGCAACGAGCGCAACCCUCGUCCUUAGUUGCUAACGGUUCGGCCGAGCACUCUAAGGAGACUGCCUUCGCAAGGAGGAGGAAGGUGAGGACGACGUCAAGUCAUCAUGGCUCUUACGGCCAGGGCUACACACGUGCUACAAUGGGGCGUACAGAGAGCUGCGAUACCGCGAGGUGGAGCCAAUCUCUUAAAGCGUCUCUCAGUUCGGAUUGUUCUCUGCAACUCGAGAACAUGAAGCUGGAAUCACUAGUAAUCGCAGAUCAGCUAUGCUGCGGUGAAUACGUUCCCGGGUCUUGUACUCACCGCCCGUCACACCAUGGGAGUUGAUUUCACCCGAAAUCGGGAUGC
rnacentral:rRNA from 1 species